UAGGGAAUCUUCGGCAAUGGACGGAAGUCUGACCGAGCAACGCCGCGUGAGUGAAGAAGGUUUUCGGAUCGUAAAGCUCUGUUGUUAGAGAAGAACGUUGGUAGGAGUGGAAAAUCUACCAAGUGACGGUAACUAACCAGAAAGGGACGGCUAACUACGUGCCAGCAGCCGCGGUAAUACGUAGGUCCCGAGCGUUGUCCGGAUUUAUUGGUCGUAAAGCGAGCGCAGGCGGUUCUUUAAGUCUGAAGUUAAAGGCAGUGGCUUAACCAUUGUACGCUUUGGACACUGGAGGACUUGAGUGCAGAAGGGGGGAGUGGAAUUCCAGGUGUAGCGGUGAAAUGCGUAGAUAUAUGGAGGAACACCGGUGGCGAAAGCGGCUCUCUGGACUGUAACUGACGAUGAGGCUCGAAAGCGUGGGGAGCAAACAGG
rnacentral:rRNA from 1 species